rnacentral:tRNA from 1 species
GGAGAGGUGGUCGAAUUGGUAACGAUUAUGCUUUCAGCAUAAAUCCUUCGGGAUUUGGAGGUUCGAAUCCUUCACUCUCCGCCA